UGAGGCAAGAGGGAGGGAGCAGGCAGCGGGCUGGGGCUGGGCGGGGGCCCACACUUGCCUGGCUGUGCUGUGGACAGCCUGGGCAGCGAGGACCCCUGCAGAGGCCCCUGGGGCCAAAGGGGCAGUGCCCAGUCUGGCAGAAAUAAGAGGGAGACCCAAAGAAAUGGCGGCCUUAGAGACAACAGCUUAGGAACCGACUCUGAAGAAGAGAAACCACAGAGGGUGAGACACUUGAGACCUGGGGACAGGCUGAGGCUGAGACACCUCGAAUCUUAGACUGGUCCAGAUACUCAGGCAGAUGGGAAGUCCAGAAAACAAACAAAACAGGGAGACUGAUGCGGAGGGGCAGAGAGGGGUGAAAUAGCUCAGUGGGGUUGCCAGUCUGGUGGGAGAGCCGAAAAACAAAAGCUGUUAGAAUCUAAGUUGGCAUGAAGCAAACCACAGGCGCUAACACAGAAAGGGGCUGGGCCCAGCCCAGUCUCACUAUGCCAGGAAGGCUUCCUGGAGGAGGUCUCAGCUCACUGUUACAAGUCUCAAGCCCUCAAGGACCUGAACCAGAACCAGAACCAGAGACAGCAUCAGGGCGGAUCCGGUAGAGGACAGUUGCACCUCAGCUUUUUCUCCCAGCUUGAGGUGGAGAGGUAGGGAAAGGCUGGCUCUUCCUCAGGAGAUCUCCCCAAAACAACAACUGUACCUCACUCCUUUCCUUGCUGUUGUCCCUGAAGUCUAUAAAUGCUCAUCUGGGUAAGUCACCCAGUAUAAAGUAGGAGAGCUCGCACCACUUCCUAACGCUAAUACAGGCAUUAACAGCAAUGCACAGGAGAUGCCCCUGGUGCAGGGCAUGGUGAGCCUUGGCAUUGCUAGGUAGUCCCCUGAGUGUUAUCUCCUCAGUCUUUGGUGGAGGAUGGCUUGGGGCAGCAGCCAUUAGUAGGAGCAGGUAGAAGAGGGCACAGUUAUCUUCAGUCCAGCACACAGGUCUCCUUUAGGUCUAAGUACAUACUCUGACCUAGAAGCCCCCCCCCCCAUGAUUUAUAAGGCUAAAUAAGCAAAACACCAGCACUUAGGGCAGAAGCAUCUCAAUUAAGACCUCAGAGGAGAAGGCUGAAGGAGCUAGGGGCUUUCUGGAAUACGGAAUACAGGAUAAAGAAAUUUGGCAGGGGAUGGGUAGCGGGUAUCAGGGGGUUCUGUCUCCACUGUGCUCAGGCGGGGGUAAGGUCAUGGCGGGAAGUGGAUUCCAAGCCAAGCAGAGCCCUAGGAAGGGGACAUGGGAGUGACCGGUCAAGCUGGGAUGCAGUAGCUUUUCGGGAUGCAGACCACCCAGCACUGGUAUUGGUGUUUCGGGUUCCGAGCUGGGUUUAAUACUGUUAGCACGUCUCUGAUAAUAGAAAAACGAAAAGCCUCAGGGACUACUGACUUCAGGUGGCUGGGUACCCUAGAUGUGAUCCCAGGACAGACUAGUGCUCUUGAGGCAAGGGUCCCUCUGGAAACCAGGUUUGAGGUCCUGUGUUGACACUGACCAGCCAUGUGGCUUUCAGCGAAUUAUAAACCCAUCCAGGGGCUUCGGUGUCCUCAUGUGUCAGGUGACCCUAAGCCCCCCCCCCCCAGAAGCCUCCUCUAAGAAACCCAUGUCAUAGGUGUCUCUGCAGGGUGAGAAGGAUUGGCAGAGGCCAAGGAAUGGUCUCUCCUAGUUGGGGAGGGCAAUUGGCCUGCCUAGCAAGCUGGGUAGAGCAUCCCCUUGGCACUGCUGUUGUCUGGGACAGCACCUUCCGCCCUGGUACCCAGCUCUCCCUCCCUGCUCAGUGCCCUUUGGCUGCCUGCUCAGAGUAACAGACGCCCUGCCAGAAUCCCUUGCUUCUUAAGGGACAAAACCUAGUUGGAGGUCACGGCCAGAAAGGGGGUUCCAAGCCAAGCAAACUCCAGGAAGGCAAGAAUGGAUCGGAGCCAGAAGCAGCAGGCAGGCAGCACAAAGGACUCCCUCGGGACACAGGAAAGGGAGGACGGUUGCUGACCCAGGGCCCUACCUCAGCCGGGGAGCUCCUCCGUCAAGAUGCUGGCUGGCCCGGGUCGGAGUCUGAACUCAACGACGUUUGCAAAUCCCACACAGACGCUCAGCCUACCUCCAAGGGGAUGACGAAGCCAGAUGCGUGGCCAGCAUUUUUCCAGUAGUUGAGGGAGAGUGGGGUAGAGAGGCUGUAAGAGCCAGAGACGGUAGAGGAAUCCGAAGGAAACUGAAGUUUCCAGACUCGACAAGGAGACGCACCUAUGACUGUGACAACACGCAUAACACCUGCACAAGCUCAAGCCAGAUCAAAACCCCAUCGUGCAGAGGGUAAAGUGGGCACACAUCCCCACUCCUCACCAAGAGGUGACUGGCAACUGGUACUGGAGGGAGAGGGGAAAUCGGUUUUCAUCAUUGGAGUGACAUCGGGUGGGUCAACCACACUCAAGAGCUCAGAAAGAGUUGGCCAACACAAAUCUAACUCCAAGGUCUUGUUCGUUUUGAAACAGGAUGACUCUGUGUAGCUGUAGCGCUGGCUUGCCUGGAACUCUGUAGACCAGGCUGGCCUGGAACUCACAGAGCCGCUGCCUGCCUCCUGAGUGCUGGGAUUAAAAGCGUGCACCGCCACCUCCGCUUCCACCACUACCUCAGCUUGCUCUGUUGUGUGUGUCUAUGUGUGUGUGUGUGUGUGUGUGUGUGUGUGUGUGUGUGAGAGAG
rnacentral:sRNA from 1 species